CUGGCGGCGUGCCUAAUACAUGCAAGUAGAACGCUGAAGAGAGGAGCUUGCUCUUCUUGGAUGAGUUGCGAACGGGUGAGUAACGCGUAGGUAACCUGCCUUGUAGCGGGGGAUAACUAUUGGAAACGAUAGCUAAUACCGCAUAACAAUGGAUGACACAUGUCAUUUAUUUGAAAGGGGCAAAUGCUCCACUACAAGAUGGACCUGCGUUGUAUUAGCUAGUAGGUGAGGUAACGGCUCACCUAGGCGACGAUACAUAGCCGACCUGAGAGGGUGAUCGGCCACACUGGGACUGAGACACGGCCCAGACUCCUACGGGAGGCAGCAGUAGGGAAUCUUCGGCAAUGGGGGCAACCCUGACCGAGCAACGCCGCGUGAGUGAAGAAGGUUUUCGGAUCGUAAAGCUCUGUUGUAAGUCAAGAACGAGUGUGAGAGUGGAAAGUUCACACUGUGACGGUAGCUUACCAGAAAGGGACGGCUAACUACGUGCCAGCAGCCGCGGUAAUACGUAGGUCCCGAGCGUUGUCCGGAUUUAUUGGGCGUAAAGCGAGCGCAGGCGGUUUGAUAAGUCUGAAGUUAAAGGCUGUGGCUCAACCAUAGUUCGCUUUGGAAACUGUCAAACUUGAGUGCAGAAGGGGAGAGUGGAAUUCCAUGUGUAGCGGUGAAAUGCGUAGAUAUAUGGAGGAACACCGGUGGCGAAAGCGGCUCUCUGGUCUGUAACUGACGCUGAGGCUCGAAAGCGUGGGGAGCGAACAGGAUUAGAUACCCUGGUAGUCCACGCCGUAAACGAUGAGUGCUAGGUGUUGGAUCCUUUCCGGGAUUCAGUGCCGCAGCUAACGCAUUAAGCACUCCGCCUGGGGAGUACGACCGCAAGGUUGAAACUCAAAGGAAUUGACGGGGGCCCGCACAAGCGGUGGAGCAUGUGGUUUAAUUCGAAGCAACGCGAAGAACCUUACCAGGUCUUGACAUCCCGAUGCUAUUUCUAGAGAUAGAAAGUUACUUCGGUACAUCGGUGACAGGUGGUGCAUGGUUGUCGUCAGCUCGUGUCGUGAGAUGUUGGGUUAAGUCCCGCAACGAGCGCAACCCCUAUUGUUAGUUGCCAUCAUUCAGUUGGGCACUCUAGCGAGACUGCCGGUAAUAAACCGGAGGAAGGUGGGGAUGACGUCAAAUCAUCAUGCCCCUUAUGACCUGGGCUACACACGUGCUACAAUGGUUGGUACAACGAGUUGCGAGUCGGUGACGGCAAGCUAAUCUCUUAAAGCCAAUCUCAGUUCGGAUUGUAGGCUGCAACUCGCCUACAUGAAGUCGGAAUCGCUAGUAAUCGCGGAUCAGCACGCCGCGGUGAAUACGUUCCCGGGCCUUGUACACACCGCCCGUCACACCACGAGAGUUUGUAACACCCGAAGUCGAUGAGGUAACCUUUUGGAGCCAGCCGCCUAAGGUGGGAUAGAAA
rnacentral:rRNA from 1 species